rnacentral:rRNA from 1 species
AUUCCAAUCGAACUCGGAGAUAGCUGGUUCUCCCCGAAAUAGCUUUAGGGCUAGCGUUAUGUUAGAUUACCGGAGGUAAAGCACUGAAUGGUGGCGGGGCCGAUAAGGUUACCAAGACCUAUCAAACUCUGAAUGCCGGAUAAUUGAUGCAUAGCAGUCAGACAGCGUGAGAUAAGUUUCGUUGUCAAAAGGGAAACAGCCCAGACCCACAGCUAAGGUCCCAAAUUCAUGCUAAGUGGAAAACGAUGUGGAAUUGCGAAAACAACCAGGAUGUUGGCUUAGAAGCAGCCACUCAUUAAAAGAGUGCGUAAUAGCUCACUGGUCGAGUGACCCUGCGCCGAAAAUUCAACGGGGCUAAACAAUAUACCGAAGCUUGGGAUUCUAAAGUAAUUUAGAGUGGUAGGAGAGCGUCGAAUAAGGGGUGAAGUCAGAGCGGAAGCGCUGGUGGACUUUAUUCGAGUGAGAAUGCCGGAAUGAGUAGCGAGAAUUAUGUGAGAAUCAUAAUGGCCGAAAAUCUAAGGUUUCCUGAGGAAGGUUCGUCCGCUCAGGGUAAGCCGGGGGCUAAGGCGAGGCGGAGACGCGUAGCCGAUGCACAUACGGUUGAAAUUCCGUAGCCACCGAAAGAUUUAAAUACAGGGACGCUUUAGAAGUGAUGUUGCCGGGCGAUGGUUGACCCGGUCGUAAGGGAUCGAAAAUGAGUAGAGAAGUCAUCAUGGAAAGAGACAAGAAAAGCUGUAUGGAUAUCUUAGGUGCCCGUACCGCAAACCGACACAGGUAGAUAGGAAGAAGAUUCUAAGGCCAACGGGAGAAGGGUUGUUAAGGAACUCGGCAAGUUGACCCCGUAACUUAGGGAUAAGGGGUGCUCAAGUGAUUGAGCCGCAGAGAAUAGGCCCAGGCGACUGUUUAGCAAAAACACAGGUCUCUGCUAAAUCGAAAGAUGACGUAUAGGGGCUGACACCUGCCCGGUGCCGGAAGGUUAAGAGGAGAUGUGAGAGCAUUGAAUUGAAGCCCCGGUAAACGGCGGCCGUAACUAUAACGGUCCUAAGGUAGCGAAAUUCCUUGUCAGGUAAGUUCUGACCCGCACGAAAGGUGUAACGAUCUGGGCACUGUCUCAACAACCCGCCCGGCGAAAUUGUAGUACCGGUGAAGAUGCCGGUUACCCGCGACUAGACGGAAAGACCCCAUGGAGCUUUACUGUAGCCUAAUAUUGGAUUUCGGUAUUUCACGUACAGGAUAGGUGGGAGACUGGGAAGCACAGGCGUCAGCUUGUGUGGAGUCGACCUUGGGAUACCACUCUUGGAGUGCUGGAAUUCUAACCUGCGGCUUUGAAGCAAGUCGGGGGACAUUGUUAGGUGGGCAGUUUGACUGGGGCGGUCGCCUCCUAAAGAGUAACGGAGGCGCUCAAAGGUUCGCUCUGCAUGGAUGGAAACCAUGCGUCAGAGUGUAAACGCAAAAGCGAGCCUAACUGCGAGAAUGACGGUUCGAGCAGUAACGAAAGUUGGAGUUAGUGAUCCGGCGGUAUGUGAAUGGAAAUGCCGUCGCUCAACGGAUAAAAGCUACCCUGGGGAUAACAGGCUGAUCUCCCCCAAGAGUCCACAUCGACGGGGAGGUUUGGCACCUCGAUGUCGGCUCAUCGCAUCCUGGGGCUGAAUUCGGUCCCAAGGGUUUGGCUGUUCGCCAAUUAAAGCGGUACGCGAGCUGGGUUCAGAACGUCGUGAGACAGUUCGGUCCCUAUCUGUCGUGGGCGUAGGAUAUUUGCAAGGAGCUGUCCCUAGUACGAGAGGACCGGGAUGGACGCACCUCUGGUGCACCAGUUGUCACGCCAGUGGCACAGCUGGGCAGCUAUGUGCGGAACGGAUAAACGCUGAAGGCAUCUAAGCGUGAAGCCGCCCUUAAGAUAAGAUAUCCCUUCUGUUUACAGAGUAAGACCCCUUGAAGACUACAAGGUUGAUAGGCUCAAAGUGUAAGCACGGUGACGUGUUUAGCUAGCGAGUACUAAUCGGUCGAGGGCUUAACCUU